CCCAUGAAAGUCCACCGGAAAGGCCCUUUCGGGGUACUCGAGCGGCGAACGGGUGAGUAACACGUGAGUACCCUGUCCUUUGGCUUUGGAUACCCCUCGGAAACGGGGGCUAAUACCGGAUACGACUCCUGCCUGCAUGGGUGGGGGUGGAAAGUUUUUCGGCUAGGGGUGGGCUCGCGGCCUAUCAGCUUGUUGGUGGGGUGAUGGCCUACCAAGGCGACGACGGGUAGCCGGCCUGAGAGGGCGACCGGCCACACUGGGACUGAGACACGGCCCAGACUCCUACGGGAGGCAGCAGUGGGGAAUAUUGCACAAUGGGCGGAAGCCUGAUGCAGCGACUCCGCGUGAGGGAUCACGGCCUUCGGGUUGUAAACCUCUUUCAGCAGGGACGAAGCGUAAGUGACGGUACA
rnacentral:rRNA from 1 species